rnacentral:lncRNA from 13 species
UCGUUGUCAGAAAAAGAAUUACAAAAACGUAAAAAUCAAUGCUCACGACAUCGACAAAUAUGAGCGACCAAAUACACCAGAAGGUUUUUGGGAUCCGGAGUUUCCCGAGACAGAUUCAUCAUGACAGAAUUAUCAUGACAGAAUAAUUAUAACUGAAAUGUUUCGUCAUUUGAAUCUGAUUCUCAAGGCUUCAUUGCGACUCGAGGUACGUAAACAUUAUGAUGUAUACAAUCCUUAAUUUGGUUAAUGCAUUAGAUUGAUCAAGAGCUUUGUAAAAAAUCUACAAAGGAGACUAAUACUUCUAUUAUUGCUGCUUAUAUAAGUGCAUCUAAGCAGCGGUCGUUACAUUC